AGAAUUCGCCCUUAAAUGACGGUACCUGACUAAGAAGCACCGGCUAAAUACGUGCCAGCAGCCGCGGUAAUACGUAUGGUGCAAGCGUUAUCCGGAUUUACUGGGUGUAAAGGGAGCGUAGGUGGCAAGGCAAGCCAGAAGUGAAAACCCGGGGCUCAACCGCGGGAUUGCUUUUGGAACUGUCAUGCUAGAGUGCAGGAGGGGUGAGCGGAAUUCCUAGUGUAGCGGUGAAAUGCGUAGAUAUUAGGAGGAACACCGGAGGCGAAGGCGGCUCACUGGACUGUAACUGACACUGAGGCUCGAAAGCGUGGGGAGCAAACAGGAUUAGAUACCCUGGUAGUCCACGCGGUAAACGAUGAAUACUAGAUGUCGGGUAGCAAAGCUACUCGGUGUCGUCGCAAACGCAAUAAGUAUUCCACCUGGGGAGUACGUUCGCAAGAAUGAAACUCAGAGGAAUUGACGGGGACCCGCACAAGCGGUGGAGCAUGUGGUUUAACUCGAAGCAACGCGAAGAACCUUACCUGCUCUUGACAUCCCAUUCGAUAGAAGGUAAUGCUUCUAGCCCUUCGGGGGAAUGGAGACAGGUGGUGCAUGGUUGUCGUCAGCUCGUGUCGUGAGAUGUUGGGUUAAGUCCCGCAACGAGCGCAACCCUUAUUGUCAGUAGCCAGCAGGUGAAGCUGGGCACUCUGAUGAGACUGCCGGGGAUAACCCGGAGGAAGGUGGGGAUGACGUCAAAUCAUCAUGCCCCUUAUGAGCAGGGCUACACACGUGCUACAAUGGCGUAAACAGAGGGAAGCGAAGGAGUGAUCCGGAGCAAAUCUCAAAAAUAACGUCUCAGUUCGGAUUGUAGUCUGCAACUCGACUACAUGAAGCUGGAAUCGCUAGUAAUCGCAGAUCAGAAUGCUGCGGUGAAUACGUUCCCGGGUCUUGUACACACCGCCCGUCACACCAUGGGAGUCGGUAAUGCCCGAAGUCAGUGACUCAACCGAAAGGAGAGAGCUGCCGA
rnacentral:rRNA from 1 species